rnacentral:lncRNA from 1 species
CAAGCAAACAGGCUGCUCUGAUUCUGGUGCUGCUGCUUCUCCUCCAAUAGAGGAUUCUCAAAAGGAGCGACAAGUCAUUUCAUCUUACACAACCACUCCAACCCAUUGAUACCGCCUGCCUCCAACACUGUUGACAAGGAUUCCAGGGAUGCAUCUGGACUCUGAAGAAGUGCUGUGAUUGAACAGUGCUGCCUGCUGAAAGGUAAGGGAGAGAAGAGAGGCCACACAGUGCUCCAUAUUUCCAUUCCUAUAGUAAGUGCUCUAUAAAUAUUCAUUGAGUUAAACCACAUUAGCACACCCAGGACUGAAAACCAAGUCACCUGACUUUGUUUGCUGGUGUUC